rnacentral:rRNA from 1 species
CCUACGGGUGGCAGCAGUGAGGAAUAUUGGUCAAUGGACGCAAGUCUGAACCAGCCAUGCCGCGUGCAGGAAGACGGCCCUAUGAGUUGUAAACUGCUUUUGUACGAGGGUAAACUCAGAUACGCGUACCUUUCUGAAUGUACCUUACGAAUAAGGAUCGGCUAACUCCGUGCCAGCAGCCGCGGUAAUACGGAGGAUUCAAGCGUUAUCCGGAUUUAUUGGGUUUAAAGGGUGCGUAGGCGGUCGGGUAAGUUAGAGGUGAAAUCCCGAGGCUCAACUUCGGAAUUGCAUCUGAUACUGGUAGGCUAGAGAGUAGUUGCGGUAGGCGGAAUGUGUGGUGUAGCGGUGAAAUGCUUAGAGAUCAUGCAGAACACCGAUUGCGAAGGCAGCUUACCAAGCUGCUUCUGACGUUGAGGCACGAAAGCGUGGGGAGCAAACAGGAUUAGAUACCCUAGUAGUC